UACGGGGGGGGUAAGCGUUGUUCGGAAUUACUGGGCGUAAAGGGCGCGUAGGCGGCCACCGCAAGUCAAUUGUGAAAUCUCCGGGCUUAACUCGGAAAGGUCAACUGAUACUGCGGGGCUAGAGUGCGGAAGGGGCAACUGGAAUCCUCGGUGUAGCGGUGAAAUGCGUAGAUAUCGAGAGGAACACCUGCGGCGAAGGCGGGUUGCUGGGCCGACACUGACGCUGAUGCGCGAAAGCCAGGGGAGCGAACGGG
rnacentral:rRNA from 1 species